GUGAGAUAAAGGCCCACCAAGGCGACGAUCGGUAGCCGGACUGAGAGGUUGAACGGCCACAUUGGGACUGAGACACGGCCCAGACUCCUACGGGAGGCAGCAGUGGGGGAUAUUGCACAAUGGAGGGAACUCUGAUGCAGCAACGCCGCGUGAGGGAAGAAGGUCUUCGGAUUGUAAACCUUUGUCCUCAGGGAAGAUAAUGACGGUACCUGAGGAGGAAGCUCCGGCUAACUAC
rnacentral:rRNA from 1 species